AUCCUAUACAGAUGUAUCAACGCAAGACAGUUGAGCAUCUCCCUGUAGGACAAAGUUUGCCAGAAGCUUUGAUAAUAAGUCUUGUUGUGUGGCUACGGUCGAAACAAGGUGAGUCAGAGUGGAACUAGGUUAGCCGCAAGACAUUGGGUUGAAAAACUCUAAAAUUGAGCUAGAGUAAGUCUAGUUGCGGCUUA
ncrna:unclassified sequences IS605-orfB-I RNA